CCGACUAUCAAUAAACAUUUAGUAUAGUUCUGAUAUGUUUAUCUCGGAAUGUUCCAUCUAUUUAGAAUCAUGACAAUGAGGGGCUGAAGGUUGGUGAAAAGCCACCCAAGAUCUAUUGACCCACAUUUUGUGGAAUUAUUUGUGAAAAAUGAAUUUUGAAAUUACAGGAGGAAGAGAAAGAGGCACAGAGGGUGUACCAGCUUCACUGAGCUGAUCUGAUUGACUGCAUGAAGGGAAGCAUCUCUAUGAGGAAAACCAGAGCUCAGUACAUCAGCAUGAAGACAUAAAUGUUAUGUCAUCAGUUACAUUUCAAAAUGAAAGCUUCUAUUAAAGUCAAAUUAAAUUAGAGCAGUUUUGGUCACACUGCCGAUGUGAACAAGCACCAUCCACUAAACUGUUUGUUUUCAGGCUAUAAUAACUGGAGAUGUUCCCUCAUCAUGGGAGCUCAGGAGGGAGAGACCAACCCUUCACUUUGAAGAUGAACAACUUAACCAGGUUGUCUCAUUCUUGUUUAAAGUCAUCAAGGAAACAGCAGGAGCAAGGCAGCGAACAGACUGGGUCGCCUUCAUUUUGAUGUCCUUUUGCCAGACGUAUGACAAGAUUGUGUUGUUUGCAUGAAGUGAUUAAUGAAUGUGAAUGUCAUGUGUGUAUUAAUACAUUUAUGUGUUUAAUCCAAAUGAACUAAAGGGGAAACGCUGCAUCUGAAACUUGGAAAGUUUAAGGGAAAUUUUCAGGAAUUUUUUUUCAGAUUGAAGUUAAUAAAAUAUUACACAUAUUUUCCUUUUGUUAGUCUUCCAGUGAAAAUUAAAGGAUUUGUGAUAGUUUUUUGUUUUGUUUUUUAACUGUCCACAUUUCUUUCUUCUGGUCGAGGUGACAGAUGCAGAUCAACUGAGCGUAUCAGAGGCUUUAGAAGGUUCAGAAGUUUCCACAAUAUGAACUAUGUGAGAUGAAAAUGUUGGCAAACAUGAUGAAAAACCUGUCAGAGGAGGGAACAGUAAAGCUGAAAGCUUUUGGAAAAAAAUGAAAACAGCCCUCUGAGGCAUUCCUCCAGAGACUUUACAUUUUACAUCCUACACACACUCGUACAUCACUACUUUGUUUUACUCUAUAUUUUUAUCCAAAAAAGUUCACUUGUUUAUUUGUCUUUUGGUUGAUAGAUUUCAUUUUUCAAAUUAGAAUGCUGACAGGAGCAUGUGCCAGUGGAUGCAAUGAGCUCUGAGCCGACUUUGUUUCUCAGCAGAGCAACACAUAUUAAAAAGGUUGUUGCUAGAGGUACGGACCCGUAGCCUGUGGACUACGGAUACGGCACUUGCCAUUUGCCAAUCAGAUACGCGAGAUCUGGUCACGUGACUCCCGGUAGACGCUAGCUGUACGGACCCGUAGCAUCGGUACUACAGGUACGGACCCUAAACCUGACCCUAACACUAACCCUAACCUUAACCUUUGCUUACCUUUCAACAGUUUGCAGUGGUUAGCAGCUUCUUGACUCGCGAGACUCGCGAGACUCGCGAGACUCGCGUACGGGUCCGUAUCUGUCUGGCAAAUGGAAAGUGCCGUAUCCGUAGGCCACAGGCUACGGAUACGGGUCCGUAUCUGUAGACACUACCUAUUAAAAAGGUGAUGAAUGUAAUUAACUUCAGUUGUCAUGGUUUUAAAGCUCUGGCUGACUAUCAUUCUUCAUCAGUAAAUGAAUGGUUACCUGACUAUGAAAUGCAAAAGCAGUCUUGUGUAUGUUGUUGACUGUUCUCAUCAUCCAACCAAAUAAAGUCUGACACAAAAUGUUA